rnacentral:rRNA from 1 species
AACGAACGCUGGCGGCAUGCCUAACACAUGCAAGUCGAACGAGACCUUCGGGUCUAGUGGCGCACGGGUGCGUAACGCGUGGGAACCUGCCCUUAGGUUCGGAAUAACUCCCCGAAAGGGGUGCUAGUACCGGAUAAUGUCUUCGGACCAAAGAUUUAUCGCCUUUGGAUGGGCCCGCGUUGGAUUAGCUAGUUGGUAGGGUAAAAGCCUACCAAGGCGACGAUCCAUAGCUGGUCUGAGAGGAUGAUCAGCCACACUGGGACUGAGACGCGGCCCAGACUCCUACGGGAGGCAGCAGUGGGGAAUAUUGGACAAUGGGCGAAAGCCUGAUCCAGCAAUGCCGCGUGAGUGAUGAAGGCCUUAGGGUUGUAAAGCUCUUUUACCCGGGAUGAUAAUGACAGUACCGGGAGAAUAAGCUCCGGCUAACUCCGUG